UUUAUGGUUGUAAAGGGUGCGUAGGCUGUGAGGUAAGUCAGCGGUGAAAUGCCCCCGCUCAACGGGGUGAAGUGCCAUUGAUACUGCCUUGCUGGAAUGCGGAUGCCGUGGGAGGAAUGUGUGGUGUAGCGGUGAAAUGCAUAGAUAUCACACAGAACACCGAUUGCGAAGGCAUCUCACGAAUCCGCGAUUGACGCUGAUGCACGAAAGCGUGGGUAUCAAACAGG
rnacentral:rRNA from 1 species